rnacentral:lncRNA from 1 species
UGAAUAGUUUAGGGAUUUCUCUAUAAAUAACAAAUCGAGGAAGAAGAAGAUAUACUUGAUUUUUUGGUUUCGGAAUCCGAAUGAUUCGUGGUUUUGAUUAUGGAUUUAGUUUCGAUUUUGGGUUUUCGGAUUUGGAAGUUUGAUUUCUGUUUCUGGGUUUUUGGUUUAUGAUUUGUGAUGAAAAUGAUGAUUUAUGUGCAUUUCUGGGUUUGAUGAUGAUUUGGUUAUGGAUUCUGUGUUUGUUAGAGUGAUGAUGUUGAUGAUGAUUUGAUUCUGGUGAUGAAGAACUGGAACUGAUGACGAACGAAGAAGAUGAAUGUGGAUUUUUCGUUUUCUAUCUUUUUGAUUUCUGUUUUUGAUUUAUUUUUGAUUUUGAAAUGGAAAAGAUGAGAAAGUUUCUGCGGCUGAGGCUGGGUCUGUGUGU